rnacentral:rRNA from 1 species
UACGUAGGGUGCAAGCGUUGUCCGGAAUUAUUGGGCGUAAAGAGCUCGUAGGCGGUCUGUCACGUCGGCUGUGAAAACCCGAGGCUCAACCUCGGGCCUGCAGUCGAUACGGGCAAACUAGAGUACUGCAGGGGAGACUGGAAUUCCUGGUGUAGCGGUGAAAUGCGCAGAUAUCAGGAGGAACACCUGUGGCGAAAGCGGCUCACUGGACCAUAACUGACGCUGAUGCACGAAAGCGAGGGGAGCAAAUGGG